GACGUGGCAGAGAGCUGCAGGGAAGCGUUUGCAAUUGAGUCCCAAAGGAAGAAGGCUUUGUCUGAAAACCCACCGUCUGCAGGUGGUGGCUGAGUGUCAAGGUCGGGGCUGUGCCCCUCUGCCUGCACGGUGCCUCUGUGCUGAUGACCCUGCUUGGUUGAAGGAGAUGCAAAGGGGGAGAAGCAGAGGGUUCUGUCUGUCUGUCAGCUGCCUUCAGAAAGGUCCUGCUGGCUCCUUGCCUCUGCUCGGAUCGCGCCGGUCUGUGCCAGACUCGGAGGUCCUGAGGAGGAGAGAAGACACGAGUUCAGCAUGGUAGGAAACAGAUUGAAGCGCUCCUAACUUAAAAACUUUGCAAAUGCUGGCUGUGAACGCUGCUUAUUUCCUCAUCAAGCCUGUGCAGAAAUGAAGCAUGUCGUGGCAGAUGGCUCAGGUUCAAGUAGUGGGUGAGCAGUGAAACGGGCUUUGACCUAGACUCCAGCUUCAGCGUGGCCUUAAUUCUUGGCUUGUGCCUCAUCUGGCAGCACAGGGUAAGGGCAGACAGCAGGAGGGGGCCCCGAUGCCCCCCUUGUACAGCCUUGCCUUCUGUGUUCCCCUGCCCACUGCCCUGCUGCUCUUGCCUUUUGAUAGACAGUGUGAUUAAUUACACUGCUCACAGCCUCUGAAAAUUUAUUUAGGGUUUUAUGCCGGCUGCUGCUUACACAAUGGCAAAUCUGCCGUGGCUGUGUCCCAAGCAGGUGGCAGCUAAUAGGUCAAUAAACUGAAUCGCCCCAUUAGAGCUGUCGAGCCGGGCUGCUGCCAUGCAGCCAGGUAGAGGGGAGAGCUGCCACGCUGAGGACAGAUCUGCUGUAGAGGAAAUGUGUCUGGCUGUACCGGUUUGUAGGAAAUCAGUCACGUCCCUGAUAGCAUCCGCUGCUUUAAUAGAUCAAUUUUUCCACUAUAGUGCUCGUCUGUCUGAAACUUUCCUCUCCCUGCCUCCACUGCUAUCCUAAAAGGCGGUCUAAUAGGACCUUUUAAUCUCUGAGAGCUUUGGAAAUCUUUUCUUAGAGAUUUUAAUCGCCUUUUCCUUGGGGUGUACAAAGAAGAGAGGCUGGCGAGAUGGUCAUCGGGGGGAAAUAGAGAGCCUGGAACAACAAAAAAGCCCCUGAAAAUGCUGCUGAAGUCGAGCAGAAAUCAGCCCAACUUGAAAUAGCUAGCAGCCAGCCAAACAGAUCACCCAAUCACCUCUGCCUUUGAGCAUUUUGGUUCUCUGUGCUGCUGUCAAAGUAUUGAAGGUGGGAUGCCUUGGGCAGGUAAAAUGCUUGUACCUGCUCUUCAGGGGAGAAACUAAGGCAGGGCAGUGGCAGAGGCAGGUGCAAACCCUGCAAGCCUGGAUGGGCUCCUGCCUGGCAGCAACUUGGCUCCUUCUAUGUCCCGCUGGUUCCUAUGCAGUGGGAUUGAGUUGCUGAUGAAAGUUACCUGCUAGUGGGGAGUGGCAUGAGGGAGGGGGAGCGUGAGCUGUGUUUCUGCAUGGCUGUGCCAGCAGGAAGGGAUAAACGUGGUUUGCUUCACACAGCACUGUGGGGCUGUGCGCUGCCCUCCCCUGCAGCAUAGCACUGCAGUGAGUUGCUCUAAGCCUGCCCUGGGAUGCUGGUGGGCUGCCAGUGGGAUGCUGAGCCUUGGCAGCCAGAGGUAUCAGCUGGUGGUGCUACAGCUGCUCUAUCUAUUGAGAGAUGUGCUCAGGUGUCUGUGCUGCCCUCUCACGCCCUACAUGGGGUGCUUCCAGCACACUGCAUCCAGUCUGGGAAGGCAGUUCAGGUAUCCUGGCUCCUCCUGUUUGCUCCAUUGCUGCCCUGCCGUUAGGUUUUAAUGUUUCUGCAGAGACAGACUGUAUAAACUGAAGCACUCUGCAUUUGUUCAAUAAAAUUUUGUAGGUAGCUUAUGCUGACUGUCACCUUUCAGUGCACGGUGAGCAGUUCAGCGUAAGGAAACAUCACCGAUGCCAUUAUCUCUGCUGCCAGUCCUGCCUGGUAAACCUGCUCCUUCCAGGAUGGCCGAGCCCAGGGUGCAAACCACAUCCCUCAGCAGCUGUGCAGAGCUUGCACUCAAUAGCCACGUUCCAGGUUCUCAGAACACCCACGGCUGCUUAAAAACCAUGGAGUGAAGAGAUGCCACGCGAGCAGUACUGGGGAGCUGUGUGUGUUCCUGGUUUUCGGAGCGCUGUAGCUUUGCUGUUCUUCAAGUGCAGUGUAGAGGAUGCAAGGCUUGCUGAAAUGAAGCUGUUUCUGUGGAGGAAUACCGCAGCUGAAGGAAUGACGUGGAAAACCCUUCCCAAAGACCAGAGGUGGAGAUGCUCACCUGGAUGGGAGGGGAGGAUGUUGGCAGUAGGAGCGGAGUGGAGCCAAGGAGGAGGGAUGCUGAAAUGCAGGCAAGGAAAAGCUCUGGACAGCACAUUGCUCCCUCCAUGGGGACAGAUUGUCUGGAGGCUGGAUGGAGCACAGGCUUGGCAGGAGGAAGCCUAUUGCUGGGACGUGCUGCCAGUACAGUGGCAGAAGAGUCUGCUGAGAACGUGUGAUCUGCAGCACGCCACGGACCCUCCGCUGCAGGCACGAUCUGUAGGCAUCCUCAUCCUGCCCCAGCAUUCCUGCAAGGCCAAACAAACUGCAGUGUGUGCUCCUGGAGAUGGAGCUGCAGAAAAUCAAUGGGGCCAGAAGAAAACGAGGCAGAGCUGUUGCUCUGAGCUGCAGAGAUGCUGUACCGAAGCUCUGACAUGCUGAGCCCUGUCCAAUUCCUCCAAAGCACGCUGUUCCAUGUACCUUUGAGAUGCCAGCUCCUCCAGGGUGAGGUGGGCUGUGCAGCAGAGCUGUCCCCGCUCACACUGUAAUCCUCAGCCCUCAGCUGUCAGCGUCUCGGAUGAGUUCUUGGAGGGUAUCCAGACAAACACAGGAGAGAUUUCAACUGCUGCGAUCCCCUGUCCUAUUUUAUCUCAUUUCUGACAGCCCAUGUCUGCUGAGGCUGGGAAGUGGUGAGGAGACGAGAGCAGCUUCCUGCAUUUGUGGAUGGAGAAGCACUCCUUCCUCUAACAGCCUGCUUGCUUUGCCUGUUUCCUGCAGUACUGAUGCACUGUCUCUUGCCUUCUGGACCAGCUGCAUCUUCAGGACAACGUCCCAGAUGGCUCUUUUAGGGAAAGAAAUCAGAGACUGAUUGGUGGCCAAAAAAAGUCUCUCAUCCAGUAUCAAAGCUUUAGCUGCACCUUAUGCUUCCCAAGGACGGCUUGGAAAGGGCACAGUGGAGCUGCUGCUGAUCCUCUUGCACCGGGCUCAGGGGGUAUCUGGAGAAACCCUGUGUUUCCAGAUAAGGACGUGCUGGAUUUACAGUUGCCUACCACUGUUAAUGCAUCCUCGUCUGCGUGGUCGUGUGAAGGUUGCUUUCCCGUUGACCAGAGGGAGACCCGUGGCUCAUCUGUGCACCCUUCUUAGAGCUGCUGAAUAGACUCAGAAUGGGGUGAUGGCCCCAUGCUCCUUCCUGGGGUCUCCUCUUCCUCAAGAGCCAGCGCAGGCCAGCUAAUGUCCAGGUGCAAAGGGUGCACCGCCCUCUGCCAUGCCAUCUACCUGGUGAUAUCAAGGCCAAGAGCGUCACGUUCUGGAUGUUCAUAAAUUACAAGGGAAACAGCUUUCUUCCUUCACCCCUUGAACUUUUAUUCAUUCCUCCAUUGUGUUAAUGAAUACGUGGUCUAAGCUGUAUGUCAGUCCCUGUUCUUGCUUGCUGUAGAUGAGGCUGGCUUGUCAGCGCUUGGCCUCCUUUUGCCAUCAGCUCGAGUGGAGCUGUUACACGUUAGUUCUCCAGCAGUAUUUUGAUUACCUCUCAUAACACAACGCUGUCAAUGCAGACUGACCAAUACAGCAAUUCAAUGAGCGUGUUGCUCUUGACAAGCCUUAUUUGCCCUGGAUAAGUCAGGUGGAAUAUCUUCAGCUGCAGGUAAUAGGCAGUAACAUCCUCUCUGUGUGUUAGCUGAAGGUUUCCUGAACUAACUCUGAGCAGGGAACUGUGGAGUCCAGAAACAGCAGCUCUGCUUUAAGUGAGGCUCUUGCCCUGGGUAAUCAUCCCAUCCUGAGAAGCACAACGUACUAUCUCAGGCUUCUUCCUAAGGUGUGUUGACCAACGUGCAUUUGAUGUCUUGGAGCUGCCCUGGCAGUGUGUGGGCCAUCAUCCUCAGUGGGGAACCAGAGACAGCAAUCACUGCUAAGUGCCAGAUGAUAGCAUGUUUUGCCGGCUGCUUUGAUGCAUUAUGUUUUCCACCAUCUGUAUUUGCACUGCGUUGGAGGCUUGCUUGCCCUGCUAGGGCUGGGCUGCGAUCCCUCCAGCACUGUGAGCAACCAGGUGUGGUGUUUAGAGGGUGGAGAGGAGACGUCAAGCUUUCUUGCUUUGCUAUGCCCAUGCCUUGUCUCCCCACACUUGCUCACUUCUCCAAAUAUUGCUGCUCUCAAUGAACUCUUAGCAGCUGUCAGUCCCCGUUCCUGAAGCGACGUGCAGUUCUGAGCUCCCUACAGGUUGGGAUGGUCCUUGUGCUGGCUGCUCCCUGCUCCAAUCCUUGGCCUGUUGUGCUUUUUUAGCCUGCAAAGCCUCCUUCCCAAAUGCUUCUGAAGAAGCCAAAGCGGGAUCUGCUCUGGCAGAAAGAAGCCUGCAGACCUGGAUCCUCUCCCCUCAGCCACUGCAGCCCUGGAUGGUGUUUAUUGGCAGGCAUCGCUCCCAGUGCUCCUGCUCACCUCGUGCUCUCCCAGGAGAAACAAGCUUCACAUGAUGGCUUUGGAAAUAAGUCAGGGCAUGUGUCUUGGGCAGAACGAAAGGAGCUGGAAACCUGAGCUUUGUUUGCAUGCACGUUGUUCCUGGCUUUGGCAGGGAUGAGCCCUGACUCCGUGCAGCUGCCGUGACUGGUUUACUGGGCACAGCAUGAGGUCCCUCCUCCUUGAAGGACAUUCACUGUAUUUUGAAGCCACGACCGCCGGCAGAGCGACGGAUCCAAGACGGGCUCCUGACUGCUUUCUCUCUCAAUCCAGCACGCUGCCUCCCGCACUGCUUUCCCCUGGAGCAUCCUUGAGCCUGGCCAGAAGAAGUCAGAGCUCCUUUCCUCUCUGCUGCAGCCACCUGCCCUGACAAGUGGCCUGUCCUCGGGGAAGCGGCAUCGUUUCCUAUCAUUAGUGAUGCGGGGCACGGGAAGCUGUGUCCACUCAGCUUUGUCUCUUGCUGGGUGCACACUGGCCGAGGCCGGUGGCAGCUCAUGCGUCCCCUGGAGCUGCCUUGAAACCCAGUGAUGGGUAAAGAAACCCCAUCCAGCUGCUCUUCUCUGUGCCUGCGAGUGCCUCAGCACGGUGAAUAGCAACGGAAGAGCUCAGGAGAAACAAGCAUGAGUGGUAGAAAUAAGCAGCAUCAAGAGAUCCAGGUACGCUAGACUGAUGGAGCUGUGCAGCAGCCCUGCCUUGUUCAGAAUGGCCUAUCCCUCGCUGCCUGCUGGCCAAGGGGCACCCAGCAGGGAUGUGGCCUGGCAGAGAGAUGCCUGCAGGCAGCUGGCUCCUUCCAUGCAUGCUGUAGGCCUCAGGGUCACCGGGAGGCUGUGAGACCCUGGGCUGGAGCAGGGUUGUCCAGGCAGCUCAGCAUUGCCCCUGGAAAGCAAAUCCUGGCAGCGGAGCCCCUAUUGCUAGCUGAUGGUAUCAGUUUGUAUUAGAUCCCACUGAGCGUGUUUUACGUAAUUUGUUCCCCAGAAUGAAGUGUUUUUACAAACGCAGCAUUUAAUCACCUUUUAAGAAGGAAUGAAAAAUCACCUUCCUCCCCAGGGCUAGGGAGGAAGCUAGAAGGCAAUCAGGGAGGCGCUCUCCACGCAGCACUCAGUGGGCUGGGAAGCCCAGCUAACCUGGGCUUGGACUGGAAGAAAUCUGAGGGCUCAAAGAGCCAUGGCUUCUGUCCCUGGUGGGGGCACCCAAAAGCAGGAAUCGCUCCGGGUUCCUCUGCAGGAGAAGGGAGCACCGCCGGGCUCUGGUUUGCUGAAGGGAUGCUCGCAAACCACACCACUUCUCAGCGCCUACCUGGGGAUAAAUCAGUGCUUGCUGGACGAUGAAGGGCAAAGCGGUGCUGCCUGCCCUGCCGUGGCUGCUGAGGAUGGAUGCUGUGCAGCUGACUGUGCACCGCAGCCUGGGCUGGGCUGGGGGCUGCCGCUUUCACUCUCACUGCUUUAUUCACAGCAAGCGAAGGAUGAAAAAUCAGAGUAACGGCCAAGGAGACGACAUCCACUUGACUUCUCUUGCCCGUGGUGUGAGCAAUUAAUCCAGCUAAGGCAUGGCAGUGGAGUGAGGCCAGGAACAGCAGGAGGACGGCGCUGCACCGGCAGCAGCAAGCGGGACCGGACAUCUUCCUCUGCCACGCUGCCCCGACCUUUGUGGUGAGGUUGUGCAUGGAGAAAUGUGCUGAACCACCCCGUUGCCAUGGAAACCAAGGCCGAGAGGGGACCAGCCUGCUCCUGCUAAUUGCUGUGGCUUUGUGACCCCAUCCGUCCAUCCUGCUGCCUCCCGUGAGCCUGUCCGAAUGCACAGCGCUGGCCCCAUCCUGCAUCAUCCUGCCCUUUGGCUCCCAGCCCCAAUGCUGUGAGCAGGAUCUGGGGUUCCUCUUUCUCUCCUUUGUGUUGUCACAACCUGCACAAGAUCAGUUAAAAUCCGUGGCUUGAGCAUCCCUGCAGCCCAUCACCCCGUGCGUGCACAUCUGCCUGCAUGCUUGUUGCAGGAGCACGGUGGCGGUGCAGUGAUGCACCUCCCUUGCCCUGCAUCCCGGGCUGCCCUGCCUUUAUCUCGUCCAAUUAAAUAACUGCAGAUAGUGGGCUUAAUAAGGCCCUGCUAUGAAAGAUUACUGACGAUUUCUUUCCCAACGUGCGGUGAAUUAGGAGGCAGUGAGCAGAGAAAGGACUGCUGCUAAUUACAGUCCCCCAUGUCCCCUCUGCUGCCACCACUGCUGCUGGGCCCCUCGCUGCUCCCUGCACCUGAUUGCAUUUUGCUGCUGGUUGUGGCCAAUUUGCAGCUCUCAGCUGCUGCUGCUUCUCCCUUCCCCCCACGCCCCCUGCUCCUCUUCGAGUUUAUUAAUGAAAACCUUAUCUGUCGGUGCAGAUAAUGCCAGAAAUAAUUAGUGCACACGGAGGGCUGGCAGGCUGCUCUCUGCUCCCACCACCCACACCCUCUCCUCUCACUGUUUACAGUUUCCUGUGCUGCUUGGGGCUGCUUUUUGGGUUUUUAAGCCUCCUUGCUCUGUACAGAUUUAUUUGCUUCUCUCUCUCUCUCCAAGUUUUCCUUGCUCAGAAAGAGACAGACAGACCUGAGGCACAGAUGCAUCCUAAAGAGCUUGACCUUAAGCACCUGGGCUGCAGGUGCCCUGACCUUAUGGCUGCUGGAAAUGGGGAGCUGCCCCCCAAUGCCCAAGAGCAGGGAUUGCAUUUGCUCCUGGCAUGCUCUGGUCAGGUCAUGGCCCUGCUCCUGCUGCGCCAGCGCCGUCCUCGCUUUGCUCGUGCUCCCUUUCAUUACACUUAGCAUCAUUGUCUCUUGGCUUAAAUCUUUCAGCCUGAUAAAGGACGACAGCGCUGCUCGAGUGCCUGGGAUGGCAUAAAUAAUUCCAGUGCUGAGAGAGAUUUACAGCUAUAUAAAUGUCAGGAGCGAGCCCAGUUUGUAUUAAUGGCCUUAUUAGUUACAUUGCUGUAAAAUACAGAUCCUCCAAUUGUUAAGCGGCCGUGGUUUUGGUCCACAGCAUUAAUCCAAUAAAUUUGGGCUUCUCAAUACAAAUCUUCAUCUCUGAACCCCACUGGAAAAUCCUUCAUGGUAUGUCAGAGAGCUUUAAAUGGCUGUGGCUGAGACAGAGGUGGGAAUAACAGAGCUGGUGGGAGCACAGGUGUAAGGCAGCGCAGCAGCCCAUCCCCACCCAAGGGCAUGGGAAGUGUGGAGGUCCCUUGGCCGUGAGGAGCUGUGGGGUGGGAUUGGUGCUUUUGUCACCAGCUUGGAAACCACAGCCCAACCCAAGAGCUCCCAUGGCUCUGAGGUGUCCGUCCGUCCUUCCCACCCUGCUGCCAUCCCUCCCUGUACCAUGGUGCAUCUCGUAUGAGGACGUUCUGCAACUCUGCAAACUUUCCACCAGCGACCUGCCAAGUGCAUGGGGAGGGAGAGGGGAAAGCACCACGAUAAUUGAAAAUAAAUGGUGCAUUAUAUGAAAUAAAUGUUCUGGUGCAGCCA